UGCUGCCAAAUUAGUGUAAACAAAAUUUACAAAAAAUUAAAAAAUUAAAUAAAUAAAAAAAAGGUUCACAUAAACAGAAACAAGGAUCUAAUAAUGUUUAAAACAAUAUCAAAAUGAGCCCUAGAAUAUCAAAUUCAACUCGAAAUUCGCAUAAGCUGCCGAUAGAAAUCAAAGAGUUGGCAUGUAAUUAGUCAAAUUCUCGCCCUCUUCCACUUGCACAAGUUCCGCCCCAAUCGAAGCCUCUCUAUCGCCCAGAAUAAACUAUUUUUUCACCAAUAACUCAUUGUUUGGAGAGAGAAAGAGCUUACUGAUUCACUGGAGACGGCCAUGUCGAUUGACUAAGAUUUUUGAGGUGCAACUGGAGCCCAAGGAAAUUUUUUCGCACUUUUGCAUUUUUGAUUUCGACAGGAUUUGGACUCCUGCAAUUGAUUGAGAGAGUGAGAAAGUAGGUUUCGAUAAUCAUCAUCAACAAUGUGAAUUCUGGAACCGUAAAGAUCAUCACCAGCGUGUAAAUACUAAACAAUUCAG
rnacentral:lncRNA from 1 species